GACCGCGUAGCUCAGUUGGCAGAGCAUUGGGCUAGUAUUCCAAAGGUCGUAGGUUCGAUUCCCAUCGUGACCA